UUCCUUACCUGACAAAGGAACACCAUAGUCGGGCACAUGUUUUCCCUAGGGUGAGGCUCAGCCCCUGCAUUUCAGGUGUGCUGACCCCUGUGGUGUCCCCAGAUAUGAGAAACUUGACUGCAUAAUUUGUGGUAUUGGGAGACUGCAUUCUCCCAUUCUCUUC
rfam:Picoides pubescens contig35570, whole genome shotgun sequence.